CCGCUCAAGUUCAUCUGAAUACUGAUGAUGUUCACCUGUGUGCUUGUGUCAUAUGACUAGUGUAGGUUAGUAUUUAAGCCUGGGCUUUAGACAGGUUACUUUGUGAGGUAUUGUAUUCUUAGUGAGAGUUUAUUCAGGUUUGUUCUCCUGGGUUUCUGACCUUGAGAUUUUUCUCCUGUUUCAUGCUGAUUUUGGAUUUGCCCUUCUGUACCAUUGCCUGGUUUUUGGAUGUUUUUGACUUCUGCCUGUGUUUUGGACUCUGCUCUGCUUCUCCCUAUGUGGACAGAAUGUUGCAGCGCUGCCAGCUCGCAGGCCGAGGCCUCCAUGCACAGUGGAACUCUCGAGCUGGUUUACCGCUGCGGCGGUGCACACACGUUAUGUGACGUGACUGGAAACCAUGGCGACCACAAGUGGCUGUGCACUGUGUCCAUGGGCCAACUCGCCAGUGCAGAGCACAGGCCUCUGAGCUUGCCUUGGUUGACUGCUGCACAUUCGAUGUCCUACUCUGGUGCUGUUCUUGUCCUGGCAGAACACAUGUCUGUGCUGCAGUGCCUGCUUCGGUCCAACACACUGCCCAUUACACUGAGUAAAGCACAUUAUUCAUAGAGAAAUCUUAAUAAAAAAGUUAUCUUCACACAGAUCAUACAUCACCAACAAGAUGGUCAGCUAUGUUACAUUUUCAUUUGUUUAAAACAGGCAAAAAAUGCCCUGUGGGGGAUUUUUUUUAUGUUGCUUCCUCUUUCAUCAAGUGACUUUGAGACCGUUAUAUCUCUACUUCCUCAAUAAAACUAUGGUGCUUCAAACAUUAAAAAAACCCUUUUCAGCAGAGUCACUGUAAUUGGACAAAAAAAAUUUCAGUAGAGACGCUAUAAUUAGAAAAAAGAAACCCCUUUUCAGUAGAGACACUAUUUUCUGUUUCUAUUCUCAAUGUCACCAAUUUUUAUUAAAAAGAAAAAAAAACAUUAUGCUGUUAUCAUUUACAGCACAGAUGACAUGGAGUUGUAAGAACUAAGAGCCAAAGUCACACAAUGUUUAGGUUCAUUAUGUUAGGAUCAAUCUCAUUUACUAACUCACUUUGUGCUUGCUGUAUAUAGACCCAAUACAACUGAUGUAUUGAAUUACUCAGUAUUACACAAUAAAAUGAUGAUAAUGAGCAAACCUCUGCAGACAUCUCAGCUGGUCAGUGGUAGAACAUGUGCCUCAGUCAUUACAAACCAAAUGAUUAAAUAACACCCACUGUCAUGACACUAUACUCACAGGGCCCCAUGAUGUUGUUGCCCAGCUGACACACAGCUGAGUGUUACAGGGCCGGGUUUCUGCUGGUCUCCUACCAGCACCCAGACAUGCCUCUGCUCCCUCUGCAACACCUAAACAAGUCACACUGCGACUCUGUAUCCCACCACCACAGCUCACAGAGCAGGACGACCAGGAUGACACCUGCCAUCUGAUUUCCAGAGAGAGGAAUAUAGAAAAGAAGGCAGUUAGACAAAUAGUGAAAGACGUCUUCAUUAGGAAAAACAGAGUUUUCUGAUAGAAACUUUGUCAUCAUAUACCGUACAUACACAAAGAUUAAAUGGAAUUUUACUUUUAUGAGUAUACACAGAAACAGGGAUGUCAUAGAUAAAAGAGAACUGGCUAUUUUGUUACUGCCAUAGGAACGUAAUGACUGGUCUGACUAGACAGGAAGUUCAUCAGAUUAUAAUUACAAUAAUUUUCAUGUAAUAAAUUAAAAUCAGCUUGGUGACUGUAAAAAAUUCCAAAAAACAAGUAAUGAUUGACAUAAUGUUCAACCAAUCACUGCUUAGGAAACACCUCUAAGCACUACUUCUUCUGACAAGUGAAGGUAAAACUGAAGGGUGGUGCUGCUUUUAUUUAAUUCCUGGAUCAUGCAGUGUGGAAUACCAC
ensembl:lncRNA